UACGGGGGGGGCAAGCGUUGUUCGGAAUUACUGGGCGUAAAGGGCGCGUAGGCGGCUUGAUAAGUCGGGGGUGAAAGCCUGUGGCUCAACCACAGAAUUGCCUUCGAUACUGUCGAGCUUGAGACCGGAAGAGGUAAGUGGAACUGCGAGUGUAGAGGUGAAAUUCGUAGAUAUUCGCAAGAACACCAGUGGCGAAGGCGGCUUACUGGUCCGGUUCUGACGCUGAGGCGCGAAAGCUAGGGGAGCAAACGGG
rnacentral:rRNA from 1 species